rnacentral:rRNA from 1 species
UACAGAGGGUGCGAGCGUUAAUCGGAAUUACUGGGCGUAAAGCGCACGUAGGCGGCUUUCUAAGUCAGGGGUGAAAUCCUGGAGCUCAACUCCAGAACUGCCUUUGAUACUGGAGAGCUUGAGUUCGGGAGAGGUGAGUGGAACUGCGAGUGUAGAGGUGAAAUUCGUAGAUAUUCGCAAGAACACCAGUGGCGAAGGCGGCUCACUGGCCCGAUACUGACGCUGAGGUGCGAAAGCGUGGGGAGCAAACAGG